rnacentral:ncRNA from 1 species
CUCAAGCUUUAGGGGUGUCUACAAGACUUUGUAGGCUGAGACUUCACCCUUGGAACCUGAUCUAGUUAAUACUAGCGUAGGGAAAAGUAAGAUGACUUCA